rnacentral:tRNA from 1 species
ACGUCAAUAGUAUAUGUAAAGUAUGCCGUCUUUCCAAGUCGGGGGUCUAGCUUGUUAGUUGUCGUA